rnacentral:rRNA from 1 species
GAUGAACGCUAGCGGCAGGCUUAAUACAUGCAAGUCGUGGGGCAGCAUGAGUAGCAAUACUUGAUGGCGACCGGCAAACGGGUGAGGAACACGUACACAACCUUCCUUCAAGCGGGGAAUAGCCCAGAGAAAUUUGGAUUAAUACCCCAUAAUAUAUUUGAUAAGGCAUCUUAUUAAAUAUUAAAGCUUCGGCACUUGAUGAUGGGUGUGCGGCUGAUUAGAUAGUUGGCGGGGUAACGGCCCACCAAGUCUACGAUCAGUAGCUGAUGUGAGAGCAUGAUCAGCCACACGGGCACUGAGACA